CCAGGAACCGUGAGAUCAUGACCUGAUCAGAAGUCAGACGCUGAACCAACUGAACCCCCAGGUGUUCCACUUCACUUUUUAACUUAACUUUGUAAAGGCCCUAUUUCCAAAUAGGGUCACAUUCUGAAGUACUAGAGGUUAGGACUUCAAAAUAUCUUUUUUGAAGGGACACAGUUUAACCCAUAACAGUCUCCAUCCCGCCAAGCUAGUGGGAAACCGUUAGCUCCCUCUUCACCACACCCACAUAUCCUCCAGCCUGGGACUGAGCUGCUGAUGUUUUUGGCCAAACCCGAGGACCUGGGAGAGCCCUUUGUCUUAAGUCUUAUUUGCUGCGUGGUGCCCAAGCUUGCAUGGUGUCUCCAAGUCAGCAGCCAGCCGGCCAUGCUUUGCCUGAAAGCCCCAAACCCCUUGCCUCACUGGCAACUCCAGUGUCCAGAGAGUUGGCUGGGUAAUAUGGCACCCUACAUAAGUAUCCUUUCUGAAUAUUGCCACUUCACCAGGGACCUGAGGGCUUGCUAGUCUUGACCCUAUUCACCUUUUUCCUUUCCCUUUUCGACGCCCGUAAGCGAUCCCCUCAAGCAGUUCCCAAAGAAACAGAGCACUGACAUUAAAUAGAUUUAUCACCAAACCUUCCCUGAGGAGAGGCCACUCAGAGCCUGCUUACUUCCAUAAAAUGGAGGGAGAGAAAAAGAUGAAUAACAAAGCUCGUAUAUCAGUGCCUCGUCCUGCCAUGCUUCUAACAGUGUGCCCAACAGAUAAGCCACAGGCCAGUUCACCAAGAGAGGCCACGCUGGCUGGAACCUCAGACCCGAACAUGGCCUCCUUCUCUCCACACUCAGUCCAAGGCACUUGCCUACCUGAGCAGGUGUUGCUGGGACCUGCGGGUGACUCGGUGUGAAUGAGUUUUGCUGGGAUUGAGAGGACAUUGGGAAUGAGAUGACAAAGUCAGAGUCAUCUACUGGGAAUUGGACACAGAGCCCAGAGCAAGAACCGGAAGGGCACAGUUGAGAAGAAAUUGAGGGGUCCAUAGUCUCUCCCGAAGGAGAAAAGAAGUGACCACGUGCUUGGGCAGAGGCUCUGUGGUAUAGGAAAUGUAUUUGGCCUUUGUCUUCAUUCCUGACACAGAACUCCUAAAAUCCUGGAAUUUCCUGAGUGGUAGGGAUGUCUUUUGUUAUCCCUGAAGAGCUCUUUCUGAUCACACCUUGGUUUAUGCUACUAGGGUGAUUUGGAAUGCAGUUCCUAGAUUGCCAAGGGAUGUUUUGGGUUCUAGAAAGACCCAGGAUGGGGCUGGUCACUAGAAAACCAAGUGGUUAGAGAGUCGGAACUCCCAGCCCCACCUAGCAGCCACCAUGAAGAGUAGUAGGGGCUGGAGAUUAAGCUCUGUAAAAACUCUUGAUGUGAGAGAUUUGGUGAACUUCUGGAUUGGGGCGCGUGUGUGCACACGCACACACACACACACACACACACCACGAAGUGCUGGGGUAGUGUCAUGCACAGAGGGGCCACGGAAGCCCCAUACCCCAGCCCCCGCACUUUGCUCUGUGUGUCUCCUCCACCUGGCUGUUCCUUAUUAUAAUAAACCUGGUAAACAGAAGUGUUAACCUGAGAUCCGUGAGCAGUUCUAGCAAACCAUCCAACCUGAGGAGGGGGCUGUAGGAACCCCUGAUUCAUAGCCGGUUGGCCAGAAGUAUGGGUAGUCUAGGACUUUUGACUGGUGUCUGAAGUGGGGCAGUCUUGGGACUGAGCCCUUAAAUGUGUAGAAUCUGCCACAGACUUCAGGUAGUCGGUGUCAGACUUGAAUUCAACAUUAGGGCACUCACUUGAUGUCCAGAGAUUUGGGGACAUCGUUGGUAUGGACAAAAAAAACUCCACAGGUGUUGUCAGAGUUCCGAGUAAAAAUAGUCCAGAGUCAUCCUGACCCCAGAAGGCCAAGAGGAGCAGACUGGUGGAUUGAGGUGUCCCUGUGCUUGAGAUAGAGAACAGAGGACAGAGAAGGUCCCCCUGGGGCUCCCAGGGCCCUGAGGGCCCUUGUCACUUAGGUCCACAGGGCCAGAGACUCCUUUGUCUUUCACCACCUGUGAGAUUUCCUGUCACUAAGGAGACUCGCCAGUGACACCCACAGAGAAUGGUAGGUCCACAUGAGGCCGCCCGGCGGGGACAGGAUGGAAAGCAGAACCAUGGGGACACUUGUGCAGAGACACACAACGGCUGCAGGAGACCAAAGAGCACCUGAUAAGAGGGGCUCUUCUGCUGAGAGAUGCCACCAUGCACUCAGAGAUCUCAAACCCAGAAAAUACUGAUGACAGACGUUCCUUCAGUGAUUCUCAGCUGGGUGAGCGCUGGAGUGCCAAGGGUUGAAGCAUGUCUUUCUUCCCCCCAACUCUCAAGAUGCCUGGGCAGCCGCUUGGGACCAUCACCCUUUCUUAGAGCCCCCUGGUGCCUGGUGGGAGAGCCAUACCCCUCAGGCGUGUUGGGAUGGCAAAAUGAUUGAGAACCAAGGCACAAGUGGAUGAUCUCAGCGACUUCCAAAAUGGACGGGUGUAUGGCUUUCCCAAGGCUCCAGGAGAAUUAGAAUCCCAGGAAAACCUACCUGUGGGGGUACAAGUAUUCUGUGCCAAGGUCUCUGUUUGGUGUGAGUCUUCUGAAACAACCUGAGACUAUUGCAUAUUCCAAGAUACUAAGUUUAAGGCUACUUAAAAAAAUCUGUAGGUUGCCAGAGUU